AGCCACAGGAUUACAUCUGUGGUUUAACCUGCCCAAUGUAAAGUUUUAGUAAUGAAUGGCCGCGGUACUCUGACCGUGCUAAGGUAGCGUAAUCAGUUGGCUUUUAAAUGGAGUCAGGAAUGAAUGGAAGAACCGGGUUUAGCUGUCUCCUAGUUAUUAAAUUGAAUUUACUGUCUAAGUGAAAAAGCUUAGAAUAGGAAAAGGGACGAGAAGACCCUUAGAAUUUUUUUUAAUGUAGAAGAAAGAGUUUCUGCAAUGAUUUUGUUGGGGCGACAAAGAAAUACAUGUUAACUUUCAUUUUUGUACCUGCCGAUUAUAUUAAGAUAGGAUAAAUUACCUGAGGGAUAACAGCAUAAUUCUAUAAGUGAGUUUGUGACCUCGAUGUUGGACUAGGAAACUAGCGAGCUAGCCGUUUGCUGUGUGGGUUCUGUUCGAACUUUAAAUCCU
rnacentral:rRNA from 1 species